GAUCCUCUAUCGUUGCUGCAAGUUUCAUCGAAAUCAGUGAAGAACAGCGCGUAUAAGUGUCCCCUUGUCAGUGAUCACGUCACACACUGUUACACCGUAAAAUUUCAAAUUACGGGCGUUAUCUUUCUUAUUAUUUUUCUCUCUUUCAGGCUUUCCUUGGGCUUACUGAAAAGGCGCAACUGCAAAGAAAAACUACAUUACAUAUAAAUUACUAAGUAUCAAUAUUAUCAUUAUAUUUAACAUUAAAAAUAGAACAUGUCCGGUUUUAACAAUUUUUUAAAUAAUAAUUACAGCAAAAUGUACCGAUUACUUUUCUUGGAAUGUCUGGCGACAAGAACGGAGUAUUCAAGGUUGACGAGCGCAACUGAUAAAGAGUUCCUACGUAAAAGAAUAAUUUCAGAAUGAUCUUCAGAACAUAUCAACUAGAGAGUACAGAGAAAUUGAGGAAAAAUGAGAAAAAGCGCUUUUUUGAGAUGCAUCCUGAUUGUAUAAAUAUUUUGGAAACUUCAGUUUUUCAACAGAUCUUCGACUUAUCGAGAGACAGGGAUAUACAGGCUUACAUUUAGAUGGCUGAACUGGAUGGUGAUUUGAGAAGCAUACUAUCAUCAGUCGAAGAUGUACUAAAUAUUAAUAUUGUUUGUGACGAUUCAAUUAUAUAGUUCGCGAUUUGCAAGUGCUCAAAUUUUAUGUUAAGAAGUUAAAAAAUUUUCCUAUUUCACGCUUAUGAAAUUAGAAAAUUUUUUGGCACCAUUCAGAUUUUUGCUUAUUUAAUUUCAAUGUUAUAACUUUUACAUGCAUUUAAAAAUUUCGCAAGUAUCCAUUCUUUUAUAGUUUUCACCAAUGUUUUUUUCACGUUCUUAUAAAUUCACUCUUCAUUCAAUGCUACGAAUUAUAAGAUCGCGAAAGAACAUUGGUAAAAGUUAUUUAAAAAAACAGAGAGAAUUGUGAAAUAAUCAAACUGUGUGCAAAUUGUGCGUAAGACUUAUAGCAUUCAAAUCGAGUGGGCGAAAAUCCAAAUGGUGUGCAAAAUUUGUAAUUUUAUAUGCGUGGAAUAGGAAAAAUUUCUAACUUCUUAAUACAAAAUUGGAGCACUUGCGAAUCGCGACGUAACUGAACUUUCUAAACUGUAAUCCGUGUGAUUUUUCUAAAUCGAACCUUAUAGUAUCUUUGUAAUUCUGUAAAUCACAAAAAUAUGAAAUAAAUAAUA